AUUGAACGCUGGCGGCAUGCCUUACACAUGCAAGUCGAACGGCAGCGGGCCUUCGGGUGCCGGCGAGUGGCGAACGGGUGAGUAAUGCAUCGGAACGUGCCAUUGAGUGGGGGGAUAACGUAGCGAAAGUUGCGCUAAUACCGCAUAUUCUGUGAGCAGGAAAGCAGGGGACCGCAAGGCCUUGCGCUCUUUGAGCGGCCGAUGUCAGAUUAGCUAGUUGGUGAGGUAAAGGCUUACCAAGGCGACGAUCUGUAGCGGGUCUGAGAGGAUGAUCCGCCACACUGGAACUGAGACACGGUCCAGACUCCUACGGGAGGCAGCAGUGGGGAAUUUUGGACAAUGGGGGCAACCCUGAUCCAGCCAUGCCGCGUGAGUGAAGAAGGCCU
rnacentral:rRNA from 1 species